CUGGAAAUAAUGUUAUCACUCUGGGAAGCAAAAGCCAUCAUUUGAGCAGCAGCAGCAGCACUGUGAAAUGGGCUAUACAAGUUCCAGAGAUGAGAAGAAAGGAUGGGACAGCAGAAUGAAGACAAUUCAUAAAGGCAACUACCCAAAGAUGCCCAGCACAGGACCCCUUCUGUGAGAAAAAGCUUCCUAUAGCCACAGCAGCUACAAAUAUAACCCUGCAGAAAACUGAAAAGCAGCUCUGUGUUGAGGACUUUCCUGUAAGAAGUUUACUACAGUGUGUCAGAGCUCGUAGAGCUCUGCAGAGAGCCUUCAUGAAUCCGUUUGGUGGAACUUCUGAACUGGGAGUAUUCACAACUGAAACCCAGGGAAAUUGGAAUGCUUUAGAUGCCAAAACAUGUUUACUGAAGGCAACACUGACUCUCUUACAAGGCUCUGCAGAAAUCUGCCAGUUGAAAAAGCUGUUAGCUUGCAUUCCUGAUGUCUGCAUGGUAUCUAAAUUGUCCUUGUGUUGAACUCCCAUUGCCAUCAAUGAGGCACAUCAAAGAUCUAUCAGAAGAGUGGUCAAAAAGUGAUCAGGCUCCAGCUGAAUUCACGUUUUCCCAGUUCACAAGUUAUUCACCUGGAGGUUCUGCUGUGUACUGGAAAUGGAACAAUUUCAAGCAGUCUCACAGACCCAUGUGCUGUGCCUGGGUGCUCACCACUGAAGCCAGGUUACUGCUGCCAGUUUGCUGGACUGUGUUAGUCUCUCUUUUUAAUAGUUCAUAUGAAAAAUACCCAUCCAAGGGCACAUAG
rnacentral:lncRNA from 1 species